UUAAGCGACUAAGCGUACACGGUGGAUGCCCUGGCAGUCAGAGGCGAUGAAGGACGUGCUAAUCUGCGAUAAGCGUCGGUAAGGUGAUAUGAACCGUUAUAACCGGCGAUUUCCGAAUGGGGAAACCCAGUGUGAUUCGUCACACUAUCAUUAACUGAAUCCAUAGGUUAAUGAGGCGAACCGGGGGAACUGAAACAUCUAAGUACCCCGAGGAAAAGAAAUCAACCGAGAUUCCCCCAGUAGCGGCGAGCGAACGGGGAGCAGCCCAGAGCCUGAAUCAGUGUGUGUGUUAGUGGAAGCGUCUGGAAAGGCGCGCGAUACAGGGUGACAGCCCCGUACACAAAAAUGCACAUGCUGUGAGCUCGAUGAGUAGGGCGGGACACGUGGUAUCCUGUCUGAAUAUGGGGGACCAUCCUCCAAGGCUAAAUACUCCUGACUGACCGAUAGUGAACCAGUACCGUGAGGGAAAGGCGAAAAGAACCCCGGCGAGGGGAGUGAAAAAGAACCUGAAACCGUGUACGUACAAGCAGUGGGAGCACGCUUAGGCGUGUGACUGCGUACCUUUUGUAUAAUGGGUCAGCGACUUAUAUUCUGUAGCAAGGUUAACCGAAUAGGGGAGCCGAAGGGAAACCGAGUCUUAACUGGGCGUUAAGUUGCAGGGUAUAGACCCGAAACCCGGUGAUCUAGCCAUGGGCAGGUUGAAGGUUGGGUAACACUAACUGGAGGACCGAACCGACUAAUGUUGAAAAAUUAGCGGAUGACUUGUGGCUGGGGGUGAAAGGCCAAUCAAACCGGGAGAUAGCUGGUUCUCCCCGAAAGCUAUUUAGGUAGCGCCUCGUGAAUUCAUCUCCGGGGGUAGAGCACUGUUUCGGCAAGGGGGUCAUCCCGACUUACCAACCCGAUGCAAACUGCGAAUACCGGAGAAUGUUAUCACGGGAGACACACGGCGGGUGCUAACGUCCGUCGUGAAGAGGGAAACAACCCAGACCGCCAGCUAAGGUCCCAAAGUCAUGGUUAAGUGGGAAACGAUGUGGGAAGGCCCAGACAGCCAGGAUGUUGGCUUAGAAGCAGCCAUCAUUUAAAGAAAGCGUAAUAGCUCACUGGUCGAGUCGGCCUGCGCGGAAGAUGUAACGGGGCUAAACCAUGCACCGAAGCUGCGGCAGCGACGCUUAUGCGUUGUUGGGUAGGGGAGCGUUCUGUAAGCCUGUGAAGGUGUGCUGUGAGGCAUGCUGGAGGUAUCAGAAGUGCGAAUGCUGACAUAAGUAACGAUAAAGCGGGUGAAAAGCCCGCUCGCCGGAAGACCAAGGGUUCCUGUCCAACGUUAAUCGGGGCAGGGUGAGUCGACCCCUAAGGCGAGGCCGAAAGGCGUAGUCGAUGGGAAACAGGUUAAUAUUCCUGUACUUGGUGUUACUGCGAAGGGGGGACGGAGAAGGCUAUGUUGGCCGGGCGACGGUUGUCCCGGUUUAAGCGUGUAGGCUGGUUUUCCAGGCAAAUCCGGAAAAUCAAGGCUGAGGCGUGAUGACGAGGCACUACGGUGCUGAAGCAACAAAUGCCCUGCUUCCAGGAAAAGCCUCUAAGCAUCAGGUAACAUCAAAUCGUACCCCAAACCGACACAGGUGGUCAGGUAGAGAAUACCAAGGCGCUUGAGAGAACUCGGGUGAAGGAACUAGGCAAAAUGGUGCCGUAACUUCGGGAGAAGGCACGCUGAUAUGUAGGUGAAGCGACUUGCUCGUGGAGCUGAAAUCAGUCGAAGAUACCAGCUGGCUGCAACUGUUUAUUAAAAACACAGCACUGUGCAAACACGAAAGUGGACGUAUACGGUGUGACGCCUGCCCGGUGCCGGAAGGUUAAUUGAUGGGGUCAGCGCAAGCGAAGCUCUUGAUCGAAGCCCCGGUAAACGGCGGCCGUAACUAUAACGGUCCUAAGGUAGCGAAAUUCCUUGUCGGGUAAGUUCCGACCUGCACGAAUGGCGUAAUGAUGGCCAGGCUGUCUCCACCCGAGACUCAGUGAAAUUGAACUCGCUGUGAAGAUGCAGUGUACCCGCGGCAAGACGGAAAGACCCCGUGAACCUUUACUAUAGCUUGACACUGAACAUUGAGCCUUGAUGUGUAGGAUAGGUGGGAGGCUUUGAAGUGUGGACGCCAGUCUGCAUGGAGCCGACCUUGAAAUACCACCCUUUAAUGUUUGAUGUUCUAACGUUGACCCGUAAUCCGGGUUGCGGACAGUGUCUGGUGGGUAGUUUGACUGGGGCGGUCUCCUCCUAAAGAGUAACGGAGGAGCACGAAGGUUGGCUAAUCCUGGUCGGACAUCAGGAGGUUAGUGCAAUGGCAUAAGCCAGCUUGACUGCGAGCGUGACGGCGCGAGCAGGUGCGAAAGCAGGUCAUAGUGAUCCGGUGGUUCUGAAUGGAAGGGCCAUCGCUCAACGGAUAAAAGGUACUCCGGGGAUAACAGGCUGAUACCGCCCAAGAGUUCAUAUCGACGGCGGUGUUUGGCACCUCGAUGUCGGCUCAUCACAUCCUGGGGCUGAAGUAGGUCCCAAGGGUAUGGCUGUUCGCCAUUUAAAGUGGUACGCGAGCUGGGUUUAGAACGUCGUGAGACAGUUCGGUCCCUAUCUGCCGUGGGCGCUGGAGAAUUGAGGGGGGCUGCUCCUAGUACGAGAGGACCGGAGUGGACGCAUCACUGGUGUUCGGGUUGUCAUGCCAAUGGCACUGCCCGGUAGCUAAAUGCGGAAGAGAUAAGUGCUGAAAGCAUCUAAGCACGAAACUUGCCCCGAGAUGAGUUCUCCCUGACUCCUUGAGAGUCCUGAAGGAACGUUGAAGACGACGACGUUGAUAGGCCGGGUGUGUAAGCGCAGCGAUGCGUUGAGCUAACCGGUACUAAUGAACCGUGAGGCUUAACCUU
rnacentral:rRNA from 1 species